rnacentral:tRNA from 1 species
GAAUGGAUGGUACAAAGUCCUCCAGCCUUUCAAGCUUGAUAUUGGUUCAAAUCCAAUUCUAUUUG